rnacentral:lncRNA from 1 species
GUCUUUCAAUCCUCAUGGCAUGUCUCUUGGGGUACAUGAAGGCUCAGGGCCAUCACCACCCUGGACUCUGGGGCCUCAGCUCCCUUUAUGAUCCCGUUACACCUCUGUCCUCUCACCCAACACAACCCUUCUCUCUACCCCAACACUGAGAAACCGGUGACAGAUUUGUUCUCUUCCUUCUGCAGCCAUGUGUCCCCUCCCUACCCCAUCUCAGGAGGUCUCAAGUCUUGCUCAUCAGACAAAGACCAUCACAUCCCCACCUCGGCCACCGCCACUCCCAUUCCCAGCCCACCCCCCUUGCCCUGGCUCAGGCCUCUGGGGUCUUCUUUGCCAACACGGUGUACCUUUCGGACCCUAUCUAUCUCCUGGACCCCUUCCCCAUCCUGACCCCACCCUUGACAUCUGAGACCCAACACUCAAAAGUUGUCCCCUCCCUCUUAGGCCACUGCUUUCAUCCCCUCUAUGUGUGCAUCUUCCAUGAGCCAUCUCUAAAUGAUGACACCAGGACACCAUCCCCGCUGUAGCCACCCCAUUGCUUCAAUGCCCACGUCUCUGCCUCCAGCCUCACCUGUCCUGGACAUUUGACCCUUUGUCCCCAGCCAGAGGUCUCCCAGGGUCUGGAGAAUUCAGUUAGUGAGCAACUGGGCUGCAGAUCCAGCUUGAACUUGGAAGAGCAUCCCUGGGUCCUGACCAGGAUUGGAGCUGAGGAGGGGCAGAAGCCACUGGGGAGGCCAAGUCUGUGGGGCAGGGGAUGAUCCCCCUCCCCCAGCCCUUCAAUCUCCCAUUCCACAGCCCUUGGAGCUGUCCUCUGGGACCACCUGC